AAGGAGAAAUGUCCUAAAACUUCUGCCAACAUUUUCGGGUGACUGUCCUUUGGGUGGGUGUCUCUAGCUAUGUGUACACACAUGAAUGUAUUAUUUUCCAACUAAUGAUCCCAAUCAGUUGGGAUAAGAGCUUUACAUGGCAAACUAUGACUAAAACUUCUAUUUAGAAAUUAAGUGUAAAUCUUUGCUGAAGAACAAUCAUUUAACUGAGGUCGGAUCCUUGACUGUCCUGAAAAGUGUCAUCCUAUGAAGUAAGACCUCGUUCAAGUUGAGUGUUCAAUAAAAGCCCUAGACAUUCUCACACACACUUGAGAAAGUAAUUCUUUUAGAAUCAGAGUACAAUCUGAGUAGGACAGCAGGGCUGAAAAGAACUGCAAGAAAUUUCUGCUGGAUGUUCUCAUAAUGACUUUUCGUCUCUUGACAACAUAGUAUUGUUUUCUGCGUCUCCCUCGUUAACUGAUGGUUACCCAUAAUUUCUGCUCCAAAAGGGUUGUUCUAUUCUUAAAAGUCACAUGCUCACCUCGUGUGUCCCUAGCCAUCCCUAGGUGUGCCAUUCCACUAGCAUCUGGUCGUCGUCGUGAGGGAACCUUUCAGUAGAAGAACCCUACUGAUGGGGAACACACAGCUCAAAAAAGAGAGAGAGUUCAUUCCAACCACCAUCCAGUUAUGUGGCAAAAAAGAUCACUCCAGGGCUGGAUCACUAGUCACUUCCAUUCCAGAAUCAGUGGAUUCAACUAAGCAUAAAGGAGGUAGUGACGAAAUUGACUUUUUAAAAAUAGACCAAUGAGUACCCUAGUCUCAUAUCCAACAGAAGGUUAGAGGCUACCUCUUUACAGAUCUUCAAUCUGUUGCACUGCUUAAUGUCAUAUUCCGGUCACAAUGAUUAGCUUCCAGAAAAGCACUCUAACCAGUUCCUCUUGGGCAGAGACCACAUACACAGGCUGCUUUUUAUCCUUCGCAAUGCCUUCCUUGCAUAGUCAGUGCUUAAUAAACACCUGCCGUUCAUGAUUCACUCCAUUUUCUCCCUCCUAGUUGAUCACUGGAUGAGGUGCUACCUGAAUUUGAAAAAUCACUUUCGGCUCUCAGCUCUAUAUUUCCAAUGUGAAAUGUGUGGCAUUUCCCUGGUGCAGCCAGCAUAUGCCUUUAGUGUUACACAAGCUUACAUCAGUCCAGAGUACUAUGCCAAAUCUGCAUUGUGGUUCCAUGAUCAAUUUCACUUCAUCCUGGGUUGCACUUCAAGAACAAAGUUAUAUGCAUGCAGCAGUUCCUGUAUGACUACUUUCAUGGCCUCUGCCAUGUCUGGGGAGUUCGAAGACUUUCCCAGAUGUCAGAAAAUUUAUUCUGACAACAGCCUCUAAUUUCCGUGCUGCCUCCUUAAUCAUGGCAGCACAGGCUAGAUUGACUAAGACUGGACCCAUUGUGCAAGCUUGUUUCUGCUCAUGAGUGAUGAGGAGUGGGGUCAGACAGGGCGCCACCCACUGUGACAUAGGCCACCAUAUCAUCAGGGACUACUUUGCGUACAUUGCUGAAGUUUGAGAAGAGCUUGUCUUGCUUAGUAGCUGCCAGAUCCAGGGCUGCAAAGGGACUAAGUGAGUUUUUUAAUAUAAAAUCCAUGAAAACUGUGUAUAGAAUCUAUUGUUCGCUAUGCUUUUUUAAUACUAGCUUGAACAAAUUGCUUGGCUCAGCCGUGAUAUAGGUAAAGCACAUUGUGAUUCUGACAUUGCCUUAGUAGUGGCAGGAAAUAACAAGAAAGGGUUGCCAGUAGCAGACAAAUGGCAUAAUAGCUUGUACAGUUUUCUUUUCAAGGAAGUGGGGAGGAAAUGGUAUCUUUGAUACCAUGCCUGUUUUGACAGAAGCUAAGGGUUUUAUAUACAGGCAAGUUGAAAUUAAUUAUUUCAGAAUUCCAAGCUCCUUAGAUUGAGGGAUUAUUGGUAGCUAAAUUCGAGGGGGCUAUUUGAUGAAGCCAGAACUCCUGGGGUCCUAACUAGUUUAAAAGAGGACCAGAGGAGCAAACAAAAACUGGCUGGGAAGCAACUGGCUCUGGGUGUGUCUCCGCAAACUAGUUGAAAAACUAAAAAUGUCAGUCCCUUAUCUAUUUCUUUUUCAACAUGAGACCCCCAAACCCACCAGGCUGGCCAAUUUUUUCCUUUACCAAAAGGAUAUUUUUUAGUUGUUUUGAUCAAAUUGUCUGGCUGUUUCAGUGUCACCUAACUACAGCUUCAUUUCUGGAACAAGAAAGGUACAUCUUCAAUCCAACAUCACCCCCUACUGGUUUAGCAUUAGGGACCAAAAAAAUAUGUGUUAAAUUUCCUUCAUCUUCUCAAAUUAUCUUUUAUUUUUUCUUUGAAACAUUAAAAUAUCUCUCUGCUCUCUCCCCUCUCUUGAGGAAGAAUCACUUUCCCAGUAGUAGGAGAUUACCAUCCUAUCCAUUCCUCUAGAAGUACUCACGUAACCCUGUUGAUUCCAUCCGAGAAGCUGUGUUCACACUGUCUCCAAACAAGCAGUAUAUGGGCAUGGUGAGGCCCACCACUCCAGCAACAACUGGCCCUAUAGAAUAGCAGGCAAAUGGGAUUACAGUCAACAGGUGUGCAUCCAAUGCUAUGAGAGGAACACGGCCAAGGGAAGGAAUGUAGCUGCGUAAAAGAAUAAAGUUGCCACCAAAUAGCUCUGAGAAUCUGAAGAAAAUCUUAUAAUGAGUAAUGAAUUCUUUGCCCUACAAGAAAGAAAAUUUGUAACGAAGCAGAAACGACUAACCUUCUGAUUUAUACCUUUGUUCCAAGUAACAGUUACAUCCAAGAUGCUUAUAUCUGUCAACAGGGACAAAUAAGCAUUCAACCCAAUCAGAAAAGCCUGGGCAGAGACUCAAGACCCAAACAUGUUUGUUGCAGGGAAAAAAUAUGACUCUUUUUAAUGCCUUAGGGUUGGAAGGAGGGAUCUCAGAGGGCUAUCUGUCUCCCAAAUUGUAUCUUUUAAGAGAAUUAUUACUAAGACAGUUGGAAAAUCUGAGAAGUAGAGUUAACGUUCAAUCAUUUGUGUUAGGGACAUGGAAGAGUAGUACAUAAAGAUAACCUGAGAAUAUUUUCUGUCUAGAAAAUAAUUGUCUUUGCUUUGAAAAGUUCUUUUAGAACAUUAAUUUUUAAGAAUAAAAAUAAUAACUACAAAGGUUAUGUUUCUCGUGUUAACUCAUUUUUAACCCAUUAAGAAGCAUUUGUUGAGCACUGGACUAGGCACUAAGGGGAGAAAAAAAAUAAAUGUAGCACAGGGUCUCAGUUCUCCAGGAGUUUAUAGUAUAACUGAAGAGAAAAGACUACCAAACCAGAAGCAAUUAGGCAACAACCCAAGACAAUGUAUGGUUGAGGCAAGAUAAAUGGUACAGGCGCAAGUGUUCUAAUAAUUUAGAAAAUUUGGGAGGGUGCUUAUUAAGACCUGUUUCAGUCAAAAAAACAUCCAAUGGAGAAGGUAAGAUUAGGUUUGGAUCUUGAUGGGUGGGUAGGAUUUGAGUAGGAGACAAGGGAUAUGAAUCAAAGGUUUGUGGUUGGGAAUUAACAUGGAAUUUUGGGAAGCUCUUGGAGAAAGCCAUCUGCCUAGUUCAGGUGGCUAGGAAGAACCUGGAGACAAGGUUAGUGGUAGGAUUGUACAAAAUGGAAGACUGAAACACUAGAGAAUUUUGAGCAGGGAAUUACAUGAUGAAAUUCUUUUUAUUUUCCUUUUUUCUCAAUCAGUGGUAGAAUGCAUUGAAAGGGGAGAAAGUAAAACCAGGGAAAUCUGUUAAGUAGCUGUUGCAGUAAUUCAAGCACAAGGUUGUAAGUAUUGGAAAGGAGGUGAUGAUGGAUGGGGGGGCAGCAAAAAGGAGUGAUAAAAGAGAGACAUGGAAGGAGAACCAAAAGACAUGUUGGCUGUGUAAUUGACAACCAUGAUGAAAUUGUCAUGGGCUUAAGAGCUAGCUUUUGCUGGUUUUUUGAGAAAGAUGACUUGACGUUUUAGAUAUGCAGAAUUUGAAGGAACAGUGAAUCACCCAAGAAGAAAUGUGCUGAGGGGGGUUGAUGAUAUGAAACUGAAGCACAAAUAAGAGGCAAAGGCUUUCCUUUAAAAGACUGAAAUCUGCUAUGUAGUAAGCAUUCAGGAUACAAAUGUGAGUAAAGUCUGGUUCCUGCCAUCAAGGAGCUUAUAGUCUAAUGAAAGGACAGGCAAGCAAACACAAAUUAUGAUGAUGAUUAUGAGAAGCAUGGAUAUAAAGAAGCAAGAGUGGAAGCAAGAAGAUGCUAUUGCAUAUGCACAAUGUGGUAUGUGGAAUGACUGGCCAACAGGGACCUGCUGUACAGAACAGGGAACUCUACCCAAUAUUCUGUGAUAAUAUGUAUGGGAAAAGAAUCUGAAAAGAAUGGAUGAGCAUGUGUAACUGAAUCACUUUGUUGUACAGCAGAAAUUUUCACAGUGUUUAAAUCAACUAGACUUCAACAGAACUUUUUAAAAUGAAAAAAAAUACUGAAAGGGUUUGCAUUUCUCUAAUAAUCAGGGAUGUUGAGCAUUUUUUCAUGUGCUUGGUGGCCAUCUCUAUAUCUUCCUUGGAGAAAUGUCUAUUCAGGUCUUUUGCCCAUUUUUUCCAUUGGGUUGUUAGUUUUUUUGCUGUUGAGUUGUAUAAGUUGUUUCGAUAUUUUAGAGAUUAAGCCCUUGUCCGUUGCAUCAUUUGAAACUAUUUUCUCCCAUUCUGUAAGUUGUCUUUUUGUUUUCUUUUUGGUUUCCUUUGCUGUGCAAAAGCUUGUCAGUUUGAUUAGGUCCCAUUGGUUUAUUUUUGCUCUUAUGUCUGUUGCUUUGGGAGACUGACCUGAGAAAACAUUUGCAAGGUUGAUGUCAGAGAAUGUUUUGCCUAUGUUCUCUUCCAGGAGUUUGAUGGUGUCUUGUCUUAUAUUUAGGCCCUUCAGCCAUUUUGAGUUUAUUUUUGUGCAUGGUGUGAGGGUGUGUUGCAGUUUCACUGAUUUGCGUGUAGCUGUCCAGGCUUCCCAGAAAUUCUUGCUGAAUAUACUGUCUUUUUCCAUUUUAUGUUCUUGCCUCCUUUGUCAAAGAUUAAUUGACCACAGGUGUUGGGUUUAUUUCUGCAUUCUCUAUUCUGUUCCAUUGGUCUGUCUGUCUGUUUUGGUACCAGUACCACACUGUUUUGAUGACUGUGGCUUUGUAAUAUUGCUUGAAGUGUGGGAGAGUUAUGCUUCCUGCUUGGUUUUUGUUUUUCAGAAUUCUUUUGUGGUUCCAUAUAAAUUUUUGGAUUGUUUGUUCUAGUUCUGUGAAAAAUGUCCUGGGUAAUUUGACAGGGAUUGCAUUGAAUCUGUAGAUUGCUUUGGAUAAUAUGGCCAUUUUUACAAUAUUAAUUUUUCCAAUCCAGGAGCAUGGAAUAUCUUUCCAUUUCUUUACAUCUUUUUUAGUUUCCUUGAUUAAUGUUUUAUAGUUCUCGGCAUAUAGGUCCUUUGCCUCCUUGGUCAGGUGUAUUCCCACAUACUUGAUUUUGGGGGGUGCAGUUUUAAAAGGUAUUGUGUUUUUUUAUUCCUUUUCUCAAGUUUCUUUGUUAGUAUACAGAAAUGUGACUGAUUUCUGAAUGUUAAUCUUGUAUCCUGCUAAUUUGCUGAAUUUAUUGAUCAGUCCAAGUAGUUUUUGGGUUGAGUCUUUACCACCUCAUACAAGUCAGAAUGGCCAUCAUUAAUAAGUCCACAAAUAACAAGUACUGUAGGGGGUGUGGAGAAAAGGGAACCCUCCUGCACUUUUUGGUGGGAAUGUAAGCUGGUGCAACCACUGUGGAGAACAGUAUGGAGGUACCUUAGAAAACUAUACAUAGAUCUAUCAUAUGACCCAGCAACCUCACUCUUGGGCAUAUAUCUGGACAAAACUUUCCUUAAAAAAAAAAAAAAACGCAUGCACCCGCAUGUUCAUUGCAGCUCUAUUCACAAUAGCCAAGACAUGGAAACAACCCAAAUGUCCAUCGACAGAUGAUUGGAUUAGGAAGAGGUGGUAUAGAUACACAAUGGAAUACUACUC
rnacentral:lncRNA from 1 species